rnacentral:rRNA from 1 species
UGGGGAAUAUUGCACAAUGGGCGCAAGCCUGAUGCAGCCAUGCCGCGUGUGUGAAGAAGGCCUUCGGGUUGUAAAGCACUUUCAGCGAGGAGGAAGGGUUCAGUGUUAAUAGCACUGUUCAUUGACGUUACUCGCAGAAGAAGCACCGGCUAACUCCGUGCCAGCAGCCGCGGUAAUACGGAGGGUGCAAGCGUUAAUCGGAAUUACUGGGCGUAAAGCGCACGCAGGCGGUUUGUUAAGUCAGAUGUGAAAUCCCCGCGCUUAACGUGGGAACUGCAUUUGAAACUGGCAAGCUAGAGUCUUGUAGAGGGGGGUAGAAUUCCAGGUGUAGCGGUGAAAUGCGUAGAGAUCUGGAGGAAUACCGGUGGCGAAGGCGGCCCCCUGGACAAAGACUGACGCUCAGGUGCGAAAGCGUGGGGAGCAAACAGGAUUAGAUACCCCCGUAGUCC